rnacentral:rRNA from 1 species
GACGAACGCUGGCGGCGUGCUUAACACAUGCAAGUCGAACGGGAGUAUUGAAGAAGCUUGCUUUAGAGAUACUUUAGUGGCGGACGGGUGAGUAACGCGUGAGGAGCUGUCCAAUGCAGGGGGACAACAGUUGGAAACGACUGCUAAUACCCCAUAAGCCGAGAGGUAAAAGGAUUUAUCCGGCAGAGGAGGUACUCGCGUCCUAUCAGCUAGUAGGUGAGGUAACGGCUCACCUAGGCGAAGACGGGUAGCCGGCCUGAGAGGGCGAACGGCCACACUGGAACUGAGAUACGGUCCAGACUCCUACGGGAGGCAGCAGUGGGAAUAUUGGGCAAGUGGGGGGAACCCUGACCUAGCGACGCCGCGUGGGUGAAGAAAUCCUUCGGGAUG